GGAGUGGUAGCGGAGCGUUCCGUAAGCCUGCGAAGGGAUACCUGUGAGGGGUCCUGGAGGUAUCGGAAGUGCGAAUGCUGACAUGAGUAACGACAAAGAGUGUGAAAGACACUCUCGCCGAAAGUCCAAGGGUUCCUGCGUAAAGUUAAUCUGCGCAGGGUUAGCCGGCCCCUAAGGCGAGGCCGAAAGGCGUAGUCGAUGGGAACAGGGUGAAUAGUCCCUGGCCAGUGGAUGGUGACGGAUGCCGUAUAUCGUUCGAGCUUAUCGGAUUGCUCGGGCGGUGAAGGGGUCCCAGGAAAUAGCCUCCACGUGAGACCGUACCCGAAACCGACACAGGUGGACUGGUUGAGAAUACCAAGGCGCUUGAGAGAACUAUGCUGAAGGAACUCGGCAAUUUGCCUCCGUAACUUCGGGAUAAGGAGGCCUGACUCUUACGCAAGUGGGAGUCAGGGGCACAGACCAGGGGGUGGCGACUGUUUACUAAAAACAUAGGUCUCUGCGAAGUCGCAAGACGACGUAUAGGGUCUGACGCCUGCCCGGUGCCGGAAGGUUAAAAGGAGGGGU
rnacentral:rRNA from 1 species